rfam:Edhazardia aedis TSNM 41457 supercont1.244, whole genome shotgun sequence.
GCCGUGAUCGUCUAGUGGUUAGGACUCUGCGUUGUGGCCGCAAAAAGCCAGGUUCGAAUCCUGGUCACGGCA